rnacentral:tRNA from 1 species
UCCUGGGUGGCUCAGUCAGUUGAGCACCUGACUUCGGCUCAGGUCAUGAUCUCAAGGUUCAUGGGUUCAAGCCCCAAGUCAGGCU